rnacentral:misc_RNA from 1 species
UUUCGGUUAAUUUAAUUACUCACCGUCAAUAUCUGUACCUUCAGCUUUGUUUGAUUGCAGUUUUAAUUAACGAAUAUAGCCCCUUUCUUUUUGACAGUUCCAGUAUUUGUUUAAUCUAGCUUUCGAGUUCGUUUAUCUUGUUUCUUUUUUAAUUAGAAAGUGUAUCGGUAAUUGACUUUACUUUAGAGAAAAUUUAACAAACGUAGAUUGGGUUGUGCAUUCCAGGGUAUAAACCAAGUGGUUUAGAAUAUUACAGUGGCAAUACUGCAUUUUCCAAGAUUAUUCGUUGUAUCGUUCACGGGUGCCUAGCAAACGCAUUCGUCGGUACUCUUUUUCGAGGUGCGUGCAGUCACUGCAGCAGAUCGGCAAAAGGAAAUGCAACGGGAAGGAAAUUUACGAUUCUGGAGAAAUAAUAGCAAGGGUCUGCAGGUACAAAAGAAACGAAGUUAUACUCGGUAUGCAAUAUGGACCGAUGCGUACCUUGUGGAUAAAAACGGUCGACGUAAAUUUCUCUCACCUUGAAACUAUAUAGUUGGAUGAGAAGACGAUUCGUCGAAGGAUCGCGUGUACGCUUUUGACAUUUCGUGGAUUGCCGUGCGUUACCCCCGAUUUCCCUAUGAGCGAAUCCAGCGACACCCCAGACGAAUUUAAAGCUUUUAUGAAACGAGAGGGGUCGAUCAAUGACUAAGGGUAAAAUACAAAGAAAGAGACAGACAGAAAAGGAACUGUAGAAAUAGUAGGGCGGUAGAGGACCGAGUGAGCAAAUUGA